rnacentral:rRNA from 1 species
GACAGAGGGUGCAAACGUUGUUCGGAAUUACUGGGCGUAAAGCGAGUGUAGGCGGUCUGAAAAGUCAGGUGUGAAAGCCCCGGGCUCAACCCGGGAAGUGCACUUGAAACUGCCAGGCUAGAGUAUCGGAGAGGUUGGUGGAAGUUCUCGGUGUAGAGGUGAAAGUUCGUAAGAUAUCGAGAGGAACACCGGUGGCGAAGGCGGCCAACUGGACGAAUACUGACGCUGAGACUCGAAAGCGUGGGGAGCAAACAGGA